rnacentral:rRNA from 1 species
UACGAAGGGGGCUAGCGUUGCUCGGAAUUACUGGGCGUAAAGGGCGCGUAGGCGGCACUGUUAGUCAGGCGUGAAAUUCCUGGGCUCAACCUGGGGACUGCGCUUGAUACGGCAGAGCUUGAGGAUGAAAGAGGGUCGCGGAAUUCCCAGUGUAGAGGUGAAAUUCGUAGAUAUUGGGAAGAACACCGGUGGCGAAGGCGGCGACCUGGUCCAUUACUGACGCUGAGGCGCGACAGCGUGGGGGAGCAAACAGGG